GUCCACGCCCUAAACGAUGAGUGCUAGAUAUCGGGACUUUUGUUCUCGGUGUCGUAGUUAACACGAUAAGCACUCCGCCUGGGAAGUACGGUCGCAAGACUAAAACUCAAACGGAAUUGACGGGGACCCGCACAAGCGGUGGAACAUGUGGUUUAAUUCGAUGCUACGCGAAAAACCUUACCAGGCCUUGACAUGGUGAUUGUACUGUAGAGAGAUCUACGGGUCAUUUAGUUGGAUCAUCACAAGUGUUGCAUGGCUGUCGU
rnacentral:rRNA from 1 species